GAUGAACGCUAGCGGCAGGCCUAACACAUGCAAGUCGAGGGAGAAGCCCUUCGGGGCAGAAACCGGCGCACGGGUGCGUAACGCGUAUGCAACCUACCUUUCACAGGGGGAUAGCCCGAAGAAAUUUGGAUUAAUACCCCAUAAUAUUAUUGAAUGGCAUCAUUUGAUAAUUAAAAUUACGAUGGUGAAAGAUGGGCAUGCGUCCUAUUAGCUAGUUGGAGUGGUAACGGCACCCCAAGGCUACGAUAGGUAGGGGUCCUGAGAGGGAGAUCCCCCACACUGGUACUGAGACAGGGGACCAGACUCCUACCGGGAGGGCAGCAAGUGAGGAAUAUUUGUCAAUGGUCGGAAGGACUGAACCCAGCCCUGCCGCGUGCAGGAAGAAAGCCUUAUGGGGUG
rnacentral:rRNA from 1 species